rnacentral:rRNA from 1 species
CCGCAAUCCGUGGUUUAGAUAUGAUCGGCCCCAUCCGCUCCGCGGCUGGCGAAUUUGUGGAACCUGCGG